GGCCGACGGGAGCCGGGGCGGGGCGGCGGCCCAGCGAAGGAGCGCGCGGGCGGUCUGGCCCCGCCCCCUCCCCGCCCGCCUUCCCGGUGACCUUCAGGGGCCCGGGUGGCGGGCGCAGGCCCCUGCGGCGGCGGCGGGAUGUUCGUGCAGGAGGAGAAGAUCUUCGCGGGCAAGGUGCUGCGGCUGCACAUCUGCGCGUCCGACGGCGCCGAGUGGCUGGAGGAGGCCACCGAGGACACCUCGGUGGAGAAGCUCAAGGAGCGCUGCCUCAAGCACUGUGCUCAUGGGAGCUUAGAAGAUCCCAAAAGUAUAACCCAUCAUAAAUUAAUCCACGCUGCCUCAGAGAGGGUGCUGAGUGAUGCCAGGACCAUCCUGGAAGAGAACAUCCAGGACCAAGAUGUCCUAUUAUUGAUAAAAAAGCGUGCUCCAUCACCACUUCCCAAGAUGGCUGAUGUCUCAGCAGAAGAAAAGAAAAAACAAGACCAGAAAGCUCCUGAUAAAGAGGCCAUACUGCGGGCCACCGCCAACCUGCCCUCCUACAACAUGGACCGGGCCGCGGUCCAGACCAACAUGAGAGACUUCCAGACAGAACUCCGGAAGAUACUGGUGUCUCUCAUCGAGGUGGCGCAGAAGCUGUUAGCGCUGAACCCAGAUGCGGUGGAAUUGUUUAAGAAGGCGAAUGCAAUGCUGGACGAGGACGAGGAUGAGCGUGUGGACGAGGCUGCCCUGCGGCAGCUCACGGAGAUGGGCUUUCCGGAGAACAGAGCCACCAAGGCCCUUCAGCUGAACCACAUGUCGGUGCCUCAGGCCAUGGAGUGGCUAAUUGAACACGCAGAAGACCCGACCAUAGACACGCCUCUUCCUGGCCAAGCUCCCACAGAGGCCGAGGGGGCCACAGCAGCUGCCUCCGAGGCUGCCGCAGGAGCCAGCGCCACUGAUGAGGAGGCCAGAGAUGAGCUAACGGAAAUCUUCAAGAAGAUCCGGAGGAAAAGGGAGUUUCGGGCUGAUGCUCGGGUUACAAUGGCAUUUUUGUUUCCGUUGAGAUUGCACUUACUGACGUGGCCUUUCUCUAAUGCCACUUCUCUUUGGGUAACAAGGCCCUCUGGGGUAAACCUGCGGUGGCUGCCGAGACAGUCUUAUCCACACAGUCAUCGGGACAAACCUGAAAGGGUCUGAAGUUGGCCUGACUGCCUCGUGUCCACAUAAGCGAUGCGUUUCUACCUGUCACAACCUGUGGCUCCCUGAAGACAAGCCUGGGAGCUGCACUGCCCCCCGGCUCUGCUAACUACAGUCAUCCCUGCACUUCCUCGGCUUUAGGAUGCUGAAAACCAAGAUCUGUUUCAGCAGAGCUGUGAGGAAAGAACGUGGACGGACAGCGUCCUCAGUGCUGUUGGGAGCACCCUCCGCUAGGGUGCGGGGAGCGGGCCCCUCUGCACGCAGGUCACUGGUUCCUCGGCCUCCUGCCGCCCCCAGCGAGCUAACGGCUGUGCUGUCCUCUAGGCCGUCAUUUCCCUGAUGGAGAUGGGGUUCGACGAGAAGGAGGUGAUAGACGCCCUCAGAGUGAACAACAACCAGCAGAAUGCCGCGUGCGAGUGGCUGCUGGGGGACCGGAAGCCCUCUCCGGAGGAGCUGGACAAGGGCAUCGACCCCGACAGUCCUCUCUUUCAGGCCAUCCUGGAUAACCCGGUGGUGCAGCUGGGCCUGACCAACCCGAAAACAUUGCUAGCAUUUGAAGACAUGCUGGAGAACCCGCUGAACAGCACCCAGUGGAUGAAUGAUCCAGAAACGGGGCCUGUCAUGCUGCAGAUCUCUAGAAUCUUCCAGACACUAAAUCGCACGUAGGUGGCGUUGUUCCACUCGGCUGUCAGGCCACAGCAGCCCCCUGGUGCGGCCCGAGACCGGGCAGAGUGGACCUCACCUGGAAACUCACCUUCAGCACCUCAGCCCUGGACUGUUAGAGGUGCUGCAGCUGCUCCUGCUCUCUGAUCUUAUUGCUUAUAAACUUUGGUGACGGUAGUGUGUAAGGCCGUAUUUUUAGCAUCUGACAGGUGUUUACAAAAAAGUGGUUGUCGCACUGGGAAGUGGAGUGAUGGCCUUGUCUCCAGUGCUCCUCUGGGCUCUUGAGUUGCUGCUUGAAUUGCCGUGUAGACAUUUGCUUGGAGAGUCCACUUGUUAUUUGACGGAGGUAGGUUUCAACCCAGAGUUAAUGUCAAGCAUGCUAAUUUAACUAGUCACUCACAGAUGACUUUUCUUUAAUAAAGUCCCUUUUCCUA